GACGAACGCUGGCGGCGUGCCUAAUACAUGCAAGUAGGACGCAGUUGCGAACGGGUGAGUAACGAGUAGGUAACUACCUAUUAGAGGGGGCUAACAACUGGAAACGAUAGCUAAUACCGCAUACUAGUAGAUGGACCUGUGUUGUAUUUGCUAGUAGGUAGGGUAAUGGCCUACCUAGGCAACGAUACAUAGCCGACCCUGGGGGGUGAUCGGCCACACGGGGACUGGGUAACGGCCCCGGCGCCUGCGGGAGGCCGCAGUAGGGACUCUUCGGCAAUGGGGGGAACCCUGGCCGAGCAACGCCGCGUGAGAGAAGAAGGUUUUCGGAUCGUAAAGCUCUGUUGUUAAGGAAGCGGUACUUACCCAGAAAGGGACGGCUAACUACGUGCCAGCAGCCGCGGUAAUUC
rnacentral:rRNA from 1 species